rfam:Pteropus alecto contig94023, whole genome shotgun sequence.
GUCUACAGCCAUACCACCCUGAACAAGCCCGAUUUCCUCUAAUCCCAGAAGCUAAGCAGGGUCAGGCCUAGUUAGUACUUGGAUGGGAGACUACCUAGGAAGAUGAGGUGCUGUAGGCG